rnacentral:rRNA from 1 species
GACGAACGCUGGCGGCGCGCCUAACACAUGCAAGUCGAGCGAGAACCGAGGAGGGGUAACCCUUCUCGGGGGAGAGCGGCGAACGGGUGAGUAACACGUGGGCAACCUGCCCCAGACUCUGGGAUAACCCCGGGAAACCGGGGCUAAUACCGGAUACUCUCGGCGGACCGCAUGAUCUGUCGAGGAAAGCCUUCACGGUCUGGGAUGGGCCCGCGGCCUAUCAGCUUGUUGGCGGGGUAACGGCCCACCAAGGCGACGACGGGUAGCUGGUCUGAGAGGACGGCCAGCCACACUGGGACUGAGACACGGCCCAGACCCCUACGGGAGGCAGCAGUGGGGAAUCUUGCGCAAUGGGCGAAAGCCUGACGCAGCGACGCCGCGUGGGGGAUGAAGGCCCUCGGGUUGUAAACCCCUUUCGGCAGGGACGAAGCGAAAGUGACGGUACCUGCAGAAGAAGCUCCGGCUAACUACGUGCCAGCCGCCGCGGUAAAAC